rnacentral:rRNA from 1 species
CCUACGGGUGGCAGCAGUGGGGGAUAUUGCACAAUGGGGGAAACCCUGAUGCAGCAACGCCGCGUGAGUGAAGAAGUAUUUCGGUAUGUAAAGCUCUAUCAGCAGGGAAGAGAAUGACGGUACCUGACUAAGAAGCCCCGGCUAACUACGUGCCAGCAGCCGCGGUAAUACGUAGGGGGCGAGCGUUAUCCGGAUUUACUGGGUGGAAAGGGCGCGUAGACGGCUGGUCAAGUCUGAAGUGAAAGCCCGGGGCUUAACCCCGGAACGGCUUUGGAAACUGAGCAGCUAGCGUGCUGGAGAGGUAAGCGGAAUUCCUAGUGUAGCGGUGAAAUGCAUAGAUAUCGCGCAGAACUCCGAUUGCGAAGGCAGCGUACCGGCGCCAGACUGACGCUGAGGCACGAAAGCGUGGGGAUCGAACAGGAUUAGAUACCCCAGUAGUC